rnacentral:rRNA from 1 species
GAUGAACGCUGGCGGCGUGCCUAAUACAUGCAAGUCGAGCGAACAGACGAGGAGCUUGCUCCUCUGACGUUAGCGGCGGACGGGUGAGUAACACGUGGAUAACCUACCUAUAAGACUGGGAUAACUUCGGGAAACCGGAGCUAAUACCGGAUAAUAUAUUGAACCGCAUGGUUCAAUAGUGAAAGACGGUUUUGCUGUCACUUAUAGAUGGAUCCGCGCCGCAUUAGCUAGUUGGUAAGGUAACGGCUUACCAAGGCAACGAUGCGUAGCCGACCUGAGAGGGUGAUCGGCCACACUGGAACUGAGACACGGUCCAGACUCCUACGGGAGGCAGCAGUAGGGAAUCUUCCGCCAUGGGCGAAAGCCUGACGGAGCAACGCCGCGUGAGUGAUGAAGGUCUUCGGAUCGUAAAACUCUGUUAUUAGGGAAGAACAAAUGUGUAAGUAACUAUGCCCGUCUUGACGGUACCUAAUCAGAAAGCCACGGCUAACUACGUG